rnacentral:lncRNA from 1 species
CAUAGUAGUUUUAACCAAAGUACCGGGAUAAUCCAGGAACAAGCUGUAACUUAGUUUUUGGCAUUUUUAUUUUCAGUUUCCCAAGUGAAUAGUAGUGAGUGUGUGGAAGUGGUUUCUAAUCAAUCCUGAUGCGUAUCCACGUACCCUGCCAUCUACAAUGAGAUUAUUCAGCAGCAAAAAAGCA